rnacentral:rRNA from 1 species
AUGUGUAGUGUUACGUACGUUCCUACAUGUUACUCUUUUGAUCGGUACAUGUGUACGAACAAUAAUACGGAGGCUAGCUUCCACGCCUCCACACGGCGGUCAUGUGAUGAUCUUUUCCGCAACGUCGCCCGGAGUAAUUGCACGAUCAAUAUAAGGUCGAUUGCUUCUCAGUCUAAUCUUGAAUUCUUGAUAGUAGAUGUAAUGAAGUUGAGUAUAUUUUACUUUAUACCCUGGUGA